rnacentral:snoRNA from 1 species
AUGAACUACUUGAAUAGGAUUUGCUCUAUAGGUGGUACAUCUGUUUCCAUUGGCACAAUGGAGACACGUAUUUAAAUCUUGCUGAUGGCACAUUCCACCUGGUGAGAGUGUGAAUUCCAGCUGUGGGCCCCUCGGCCUUCUUCAGCCAUAGAGGAUUGUGGUCAUCCAAUUAAAGGCUGAUGAAGAUGCUACAUUGAAGUCUGAAAGAUC